GACGAACGCUGGCGGCGUGCCUAAUACAUGCAAGUAGAACGCUGAAGAGAGGAGCUUGCUCUUCUUGGAUGAGUUGCGAACGGGUGAGUAACGCGUAGGCAACCUGCCUUGUAGCGGGGGAUAACUAUUGGAAACGAUAGCUAAUACCGCAUAACAAUGGAUGACACAUGUCAUUUAUUUGAAAGGGGCAAUUGCUCCACUACAAGAUGGACCUGCGUUGUAUUAGCUAGUAGGUGAGGUAAUGGCUCACCUAGGCGACGAUACAUAGCCGACCUGAGAGGGUGAUCGGCCACACUGGGACUGAGACACGGCCCAGACUCCUACGGGAGGCAGCAGUAGGGAAUCUUCGGCAAUGGGGGCAACCCUGACCGAGCAACGCCGCGUGAGUGGAGAAGGUUUUCGGAUCGUAAAGCUCUGUUGUAAGUCAAGAACGGGUGUGAGAGUGGAAAGUUCACACUGUGACGGUAGCUUACCAGAAAGGGACGGCUAACUACGUG
rnacentral:rRNA from 1 species